rnacentral:rRNA from 1 species
AUUGAACGCUGGCGGCAGGCCUAACACAUGCAAGUCGAGCGGAUGAAGGGAGCUUGCUCCUGGAUUCAGCGGCGGACGGGUGAGUAAUGCCUAGGAAUCUGCCUGGUAGUGGGGGAUAACGUCCGGAAACGGGCGCUAAUACCGCAUACGUCCUGAGGGAGAAAGUGGGGGAUCUUCGGACCUCACGCUAUCAGAUGAGCCUAGGUCGGAUUAGCUAGUUGGUGGGGUAAAGGCCUACCAAGGCGACGAUCCGUAACUGGUCUGAGAGGAUGAUCAGUCACACUGGAACUGAGACACGGUCCAGACUCCUACGGGAGGCAGCAGUGGGGAAUAUUGGACAAUGGGCGAAAGCCUGAUCCAGCCAUGCCGCGUGUGUGAAGAAGGUCUUCGGAUUGUAAAGCACUUUAAGUUGGGAGGAAGGGCAGUAAGUUAAUACCUUGCUGUUUUGACGUAACCAACAGAAUAAGCACCGGCUAACUUCGUG